UCUAAGAGAUUGACAUCAAGGUUGGAGAAGGAAGCCGGCCAAUACCCAAGCACGUUUUUGAGGUUAUCGUCUAUUUAGUAAUUUCGAUCAUUUUUAAAUUUUUUGUGCUUGUUUUCAACUUAGUUUUUAAUAAGUAUAAAAAAUUUGAGUUAAGAUCAAUGGUUCAUUCAUUAGUUAUUGAGGUUUAAAUUUGUUAUAGAAAUUACUAGGAUUUGAUUAAGAUUUGAUUUAGGAUUUAAGGUUUGGUUAGUAUUUGGUUUAGGAUUUAGGAUUUGGUUAGGAUUUGAUUUAGGAUUAGAAUUUGAUUUAGGAUUUAGGAUUUGGCUAGGGUUUGGUUAGGAUUUGGUUUAGAUUUUAGGAUUUUGUUUAGGGUUUAAGGUUUAAUUAGGAUUUGAUUUAAGGUUUAGGAUUUUAUUAAGGUUUGAUUUAGGAUUAAUUAGGAUUUGAUUUAGGAUUUAGGAUUUUUUUAGGAUUUAAGAUUUAGUUAAUUUUUGGCCUAAAGUUUGAAUGAAGUCCAAUAGGAUUUUAACUAGAAUUAAGUUAAGAUUGAAUUGAGAUGUAUAUGAGAUAUAUUUGUGAUCAUUCUAAUAUUUCUUUAAUAUUUCUUAUUAUUUCUUUGUAAUUCCUUUGAGGUUUCUUUGAAUUUGAUUAAAACUUGCUUAGCAUUGUUAUGGUCUUAUUAGAGUUUAGUUAGUAUUUUAUUAGAGUUAGGAUUUUGUUGUUUCAAUUUCUAUUCUACCUUCUAUAGCCAGGUAUUUAGAGCAUUCUCAAGCAAGACUUCACAUAUUAUAACAUGUCAUAGAUAGUGGAAUUGGCUGUAAUAAUUGAGGAGAUGCUGCAUUGUUUGUUUUAUUAUGUUAACAUGAUUUGCAUGAGCAUACAAAGGUUUGAAUAUCACAAUCCAAAUCUAUCCAAAACCAUGUCAUUGAGAUUUAUUCUAGAAUCUUUUCUUGUCCUAAAUGUCUAGAUAUCAUGAUGUCAUAUCUUUUUUAAAGUAUGUGUAUCCAAAGUAUAGUAUUAUUGACUAUAUAAAUCUACUUUUUAAAAUAGAGUAAGCCAUAAUUAAGAGUGUAACCUUGAUAUUAUAUAUGACCCACCUUCAGCCAAUCAUUAAUCUUCUUAAAAUAAAUAUCUUGAUAGAUAACUUCUUUUCAUUCUGCCUCUUUGGUUAGAUUUAAAAUUAUACUAUU
rnacentral:lncRNA from 1 species